rnacentral:rRNA from 1 species
CGGAGGGUGCAAGCGUUGUUCGGAUUUACUGGGCGUAAAGCGCGCGCAGGUGGGUGACCAAGUCGGAAGUGAAAUCUCGAGGCUCAACCUCGAGGCUGCUCCCGAAACUGGUCGCCUAGGGACUGGUAGAGGCUGGUAGAAUUCCCGGUGUAGCGGUGGAAUGCGUAGAGAUCGGGAAGAAUACCCGUGGCGAAGGCGGCCAGCUGGGCCAGGUCCGACACUGAGGCGCGAAAGCGUGGGGAGCAAACAGGAUUAGAUACCCUGGUAGUCCACGCUGUAAACGGUGGGUACUAGGUUUUAUGGGAAUUGACCCCUGUGGAACCGGAGCUAACGCAAUAAGUACCCCGCCUGGGAAGUACGGUCGCAAGACUA